UCAUAAUAGGAAUGGCUUUUCUAAACAUUUGGCUAGUUUUUCCUCUCCUCCCUUCUCUGUUCCCCUCCUCCUCUCUUUCCUUCUCUUCUCCCUCCCUCCCUAUUUUCAUCAUGUUUUGGGGUGUCCCAUCUGGCCCAGAAGAAGGGAGAGAUUUGGCUAAACACCAACCAACCAACCAACCAACCAACCAGAGAAGAGAACAAAAGAGCCAUUAUACAGUGCUAAGGAGCACAAGGUCAAAAAGAACCAAACCAAUCCAGGUAGGAUUGAUGGACUUCUAAGCCAAUUUGAAAGAACUUGUACCUAGUGUGAGACUCGAGGUUGCAGUGCUUGCCAUAUGUUAAGAUACAGGAUGCCUUGUAUCCACACUCUUUGUGAAUACUCACAGACAAGUGCCAAAGUUUGGCUAUCAUCCUGGCUCCCCCUAUCCCUGACAGUGAAGGUAAAAUAAGACCAGGGAACGACACUUCCCUAUCACACAAAAAUCUAGUUUUUUUUUUUUUUUCUUGUAUGGCAACUUCCUAUAAUCUUGGCUGCACGUGGG
rnacentral:lncRNA from 1 species